rnacentral:rRNA from 1 species
AACCGUAGAGCUAAUACCGGAUAAUAUAUUGAACCGCAUGGUUCAAUAGUGAAAGACGGUUUUGCUGUCACUUAUAGAUGGAUCCGCGCCGCAUUAGCUAGUUGGUAAGGUAACGGCUUACCAAGGCAACGAUGCGUAGCCGACCUGAGAGGGUGAUCGGCCACACUGGAACUGAGACACGGUCCAG